rnacentral:rRNA from 1 species
CCUACGGGUGGCAGCAGUGAGGAAUAUUGGUCAAUGGGCGCGAGCCUGAACCAGCCAAGUAGCGUGAAGGAUGACUGCCCUACGGGUUGUAAACUUCUUUUAUAAAGGAAUAAAGUGAGGCACGUGUGCCUUUUUGUAUGUACUUUAUGAAUAAGGAUCGGCUAACUCCGUGCCAGCAGCCGCGGUAAUACGGAGGAUCCGAGCGUUAUCCGGAUUUAUUGGGUUUAAAGGGAGCGUAGAUGGGUUGUUAAGUCAGUUGUGAAAGUUUGCGGCUCAACCGUAAAAUUGCAAUUGAUACUGGCAGUCUUGAGUACAGUUGAGGUAGGCGGAAUUCGUGGUGUAGCGGUGAAAUGCUUAGAUAUCACGAAGAACUCCGAUUGCGAAGGCGGGUUCCUGGACAUUAACUGACGCUGAGGCACGAAGGCCAGGGGAGCGAAAGGGAUUAGAUACCCAGGUAGUC